CUUGUUUUUCAUUGAUUUCUAAAUUUUUUGUAUUUGUUAAGAUUUCUGUAGAUGUUUCACUUUCUUUCGAAUCAUAAUUAUAUGUUUCUUCAACAUCUCUUGUAUUAAUUUCUAAUUCCUUGGUUUCUAUUUCUUUAUUGUUUAUUUCUAAUUUUUCUUUAAAUUGAUUUAUCUCAUUUAAUAAUUUUUGUUCUUUAUCUUUUUCUUUUUUUUUCUUCCUGUCUUUUUUCAUACAGAUCCUUUAGCAUUUGUAGUUCUUUUUUAAUUCAGUAAUCCUACUAUUUUUAGUUUCUUCUAAUUUUCGUAUUUCUUCUGUAAUUUGUUGUUUUAUUCUUUCUAUUUCCUUUUUUUCUAUCUAUUUCUUCAUUUUCUUUUUCUAUUCUCACCAUAGCUGUCAAUUUAUCUUCUAAUUUUAAUUCUUCUUUUCUCUAACAUUAAAUAUAAAUGUUCACCUAUUUUCUUAUACCUUCUCCCUAGAUUAAAAAAUGUUAUUUUUAUUUUUAACCCUUCAUGUUUUUUCAUCUAUUAUAAGUUCUUCUUUAUUCAUUUUUUAUUUAAUUGUUAAUAGAUCAUGUUGGUAUGUAUAUUCUAGACUAUCUAUUGUUGAUUCUAAAUUUGAUAUUUCUUCUUUUUGUGCAUUUAUUGAGUUUUUACUAACUCCUGCAAUUAUAUUAUACUGUAGUCUUUCUAACCUUAUUUUUAAUUCUUUACGUUUUUCAAAUAUUAUUUGUUUUGAUUCUUUAUAUUUUUGUACGUUAUUCGUUUAAAUAAUAUUUUGGGAAUAUCUAAAUCUCAUCAUAAUUAAUGAAUUAAUUAAAUAAAUCCAUAUAUAUACUACUUCCGUAUUUUUUAAAUAACAAGGUUCUGAUACCAUUUGUAGGGGGUGUGGAUUAGGCGCGGUAAGUUUACUAGAAAAUAAAUACUUAGGUAUUUAAAAAAUUGGGUGUGGUGUGGUCAGGGGGUUGGUGGGGUCGGGUGGGGUCGAGGCUGGUGGGGUGGGGGAUAAGGUGAAGAAAAAAAUAAGACUAUAACAUUAAGUAAGGGCAUAACUGAAAAAAAAUAAGCAAACCAUGGAAUACCACCAAAUUGGUGGUUACAUAAAAUGAAGGUUUUCAUGGUUAUUAAAUCAUGAAAUUAAACCAUAACAGACGAUACAUUUUAAGAAACAAUCAAAACAAACGUGAUUCUCUUAAUAACUAUAUCAUACCAUACCAUGGAAAACCACCAUCCAAACAGAGGGUUAAACAUCAAGAGCAUAAUACAAUCUAUAAGACAGUAACAAAAACCCAUAAUCUGCAUCAAACACAAAGAUGUGAAAAUGCUGCCUUAUAAUAAGUUUCAUUUUCAAAAAUCGUCAGAAAAGAUCACACUUAAUAUUUCAACUAAAUCAAUAAAUGUAAUUUUUUUUUUUUCAUUUUUGUGGAAAGGUCCUAAACAUAAUAUUAAGUCUUAAGUUCAGUCUAACUUCACAUAAAAUUUUCCAGAAGAGUUACUAAAUAUUUUUUAUUUAAUCAUAAAAUCAAAUCAGUCAACUUUCAUUAGUUUCCAUAAUCUCUAUAUUUUUUCUUUAAAAGAAGACUUAAGGGCCAAUGAUUAUCAAUUAGUGUUAAAUAUCAUCAUUACUAUAAUGGAUAAAUUCAAAAUUUAUUGGUGUUAACUGUUUAGAUCAUCAUAAUAAAAAAAAUCCUAUUUAUGAAUUUUGAAAUCCAAUUGAACCAACGAACCCCAAUAAGUAGCUGCUUUUGGAAACUAGUCAAAACUCAAAAGUGGUUCAAAAUUGACAUUGACACAUGGUAUUUGAUCGAAGCUUUAGUAGGUAGAUAUUCUCUUCUCUAAGAAUUGUACUUGAGACUUCAUCUCAUACGGCUCCAUCGUGAACUUUUCGUUGUUGGUCUCGCCAUUGAUGUUAUAAAAAUAUGUUAUACAUGUCAGUCGAUCCAAGAUUUUGAGUGUAUGAGUGGUGGAUUCUAGGAAAAGUAAUUUAUUAAGUUUAAAUUAUUUGUACAUACUGACUAAUUUUUAACACAAAUACAGAACUUUGUCAAAAGCUAGGAAUUCUCUUGAAUCCGUAGCUAGAAAUCUAGUUCGGCUCAUACUUUCUUCCUUUAUGUAAAUUAAACCUUAUGUUAUUGUCAUUUCACUUCAAGCACAACAUGCGUGUUCAAUGCAACACUUAUUUGUGGAAACGUUGGGUUCAAUUGAAUACCAAAAUUAUUUUCAUGACUAAGAUUUUUUUUUGUGCGUGUAUUUUCACUUGUCGUUGUCUAUAUAUAGUUUUAUACAUUAUUAGUCUACUUGACAAAGGGUAAAUUUAUAUGUAAGUACAGUUAAUUUUUUUUACGAGAGUUCUUGUUUUAUUACUGUUCAAAUGAGUAAUUCAACAAUCAAGAGGAGACAUUAAACACGAGAGAGUUUUAAUUUCUUCAUUUAAUUCAUUUUAUUUAUUGUUAAGUUCUUCGGUCAUUGCAUUGUAGAAAAAAGUAAGUGUUUUUUUAAUUCAACUUAAGAUUGAUUUUUUUUUUACUACUAUAUUCUUAGUAUUUAGUAUUUAAUGAACAGUUAUAACUUAUACAUAUAUUGUCUCAAGCAUAUUAGUUUGUUAAUUUCAACAUGUAAACAAAUUUAAAGAGAUAGAAUAUGAAGUUCUCCCCAUCCCAAAGUAGAAAAUCAAAGAACUUUAACUUGAGUUAAAGUCAAACUAACUAUAAUAUGUUGGAUAUUUCGGGUCAUGGCUCGUCCACAUGAACCGACCCAGCCUGGCCCAUUUGUCCCAUUUAUCUGAAAAAAAGAAGAAAUUAAGACCAAAUUUUGAAUUUUGGGGGAACAGUUACAAAAGAAAAACUGUUCCACUCCCCUUAUAUUCAUCGAGUUUUCUUCUUCAGAAACAUGUGACGAAAAACAGCAACACAAAAGGGCAAACACAUUACAUUAACAAAACACUAAAUUGAAAGGCAUUUAGUUUGUGGAUUUACACUCCAUUUUCAAGAGAAACGAAACAAACUUGGAGCGAUUCUUUCGAUAGCAAAUUCAACGACUUCCGCUGCAACAGAGAAAGGUACACACUGAUUUCUGAUUUUGCUCUGAUUUUACCAUCAAUGCUAUCAGAGUCAGGUUUAUUGCCCUAAUUUUUCAUGUAAUAUCUCGAUUUUGAGUGUAGAAAUAAAAAAUUGAAUUAGGACACACUUGUAAGAAAAAUUAUUGACCGGAUAUAAAUCAUAUAAUCCGGUUAGACACGUAAAAUUUGGUCAGACAUACCACUAAGCCGGUCAGACGCGCCAUCGCUAAUCCGAUCGGAUGCACCGCUGAUCCAAUCAGACGCAUUGAAGUUUUUUUUUUUUUUCAGAACCGGCCUGUUUUAAAAAAAUUAAUAUAUAUAUAUAUACAUAUAUAUAUAUAUAUACAUAUUUGAAAUGGAGAUAGUAAGAAUUAGAUUAUGCUCCCCUCUGUUGCUCCAUCUUGGAUUGAGAUUUUUUUGGAGAAGUUUUUUUUUGAGAACGCUCUUUUUCUUUGCUUUGUUUCUUUAAUGAGAAAUGAAUUCCUUCUUAAAAAUGGUGAAGAAAGACGUUCUACUUUGUGCUUUGUGUUAAAAUAAUUUUUUUUGUUGUAUGGUACUAAUGUUUGUGUAGUACAAGUAAGGACUAAUUGCAGUACAUAUAUAAAAAGUGUAAAAAUGUUACACUAUUCUCUUUCAUCAUUUAAAAAAUAAUUGAUUUGAUAAAAGAAAUAUGGAGAAUCGUAUAGUGUAAAAAUUAUGCCUUUUAAUUUUAUUUAUUAAAUGAGUGUAUAAAUUAGACUUGAUAUAAUUCUUUCCUAAAUUUUUCAUAAACAGAUUUUGUCUUCUACAAUAAAUUGUGACAUAAGUUGUCGCAUUGAAUGGCAUAAUCAUUCUUAUCAUUUCUUGGUUCCUAUUUCAGACAUGGCUGAAUGGGAACAAACUCGAAUCACUUCAAGUGGGAGUUCAAGAUUUCGAGCAAAGAAACAAAGUGGAAGAGCACGUCGUUGAAGGACAUGUUUUUGAGGUCGUGAGAUCAUACGAAAUGAUGUUCCUAGAGCGACACCAAAUCUAUUACGGAAUGAAAGGGCUAUGCGACGAGAAAGAGAAGAAACUGAAAAAAUUGAAGUCUUUUAAGAUGACCCCUAACAUAACUGUUGCUAGUUUAAUACAUUUCUUUGAAUUGAAACAUGUAGAACUGAAAAAUUAUGUAGAAAUCUCGGAUUGGUAAGCAUUAGCUAUUUUAGCAAAUUCUUUCCGUGAUCCUUGGAGCGAG
rnacentral:lncRNA from 1 species